UACGGGGGGAGCAAGCGUUGUUCGGAUUUACUGGGCGUAAAGGGCGCGUAGGCGGCCGCCGCAAGUCAAUUGUGAAAUCUCCGGGCUUAACUCGGAAAGGUCAACUGAUACUGCGGGGCUAGAGUGCGGAAGGGGCAACUGGAAUUCUCGGUGUAGCGGUGAAAUGCGUAGAUAUCGAGAGGAACACCGAUGGCGAAGGCAGGUCUCUGGGCCACUACUGACGCUGAGAAGCGAAAGCAUGGGGAGCGAACAGG
rnacentral:rRNA from 1 species